UGUGUGUGUGUGUGUGUCACUGCCCUUCCCCCCCCUCUGCAGUAUAAACUGUAAUGAAAGUGAAAGUCAGCAGCUCCAUUUUGUGACGAGUGAAAAGUCAAAGAUUUCAGGAGUAAAAACACAAAUGAUGGAGGGAAAGAGAUCAGAUUCACCAGAACCCAGCUGUGUGUCCAUGAAGAGUGAGCGGUCAAUGGGACUUCCAAUUACCUUCAGAGACGGAGACAGUUCUACUGAUGUGAGACCACAAAAAUCAAACAUCAGCACAAAUCAUCUGGACUCUAUAUUCAAGG